rnacentral:lncRNA from 1 species
CUAGAAGACAGUAUGGAGGAGUGGAUGUGUUGAUUCUAGUAGACAGUAUGGAGGAGUGGAGGUGUUGAUUCUAGUAGACAGUAUGAAGGAGUGGAGGUGUUGAUUCUAGAAGACAGUAUGGAGGAGUGGAGGUGUUGAUUCCAGUAGACAUUAUGGAGGAGUGGAGGUGUUGAUUCUAGAAGAGAGUAUGGAGGAGUGAAAGAGUGGAGGUGUUGAUUCUAGUAGACAGUAUAGAGGAGUGGAGGUGUUGAUUCUAGUAGACAGUAUAGAGGAGUGGAGGUGUUGAUUCUAGAAGACAGUAUGGAGGAGUGGAGGUGUUGAUUCUAGAAGACAGUAUGGAGGAGUGGAGGUGUUGAUUCUAGUCGACAGUAUGGAGGAGUGAAAGAGUGGAGGUGUUGAUUCUAAUAGACAGUACGGAGGAGUGGAGGUGUUGAUUCUAGUAGACAGUAUGGAGGAGUGGAGGUGUUGAUUCUAGAAGACAGUAUGGAGGAGUGGAGGUGUUGAUUCUAGAAUACAGUAUGGAGGAGUGGAUGUGUUGAUUCUAAUAGACAGUCUAGAGGAGUGGAGGUGUUGAUUCUAGUAGACAGUAUUGAGGAGUGGAGGUGUUGAUUCUAGUAUACAGUAUGGAGGAGUGAAAGAGUGGAGGUGUUGAUUCUAGCAGACAGUAUAGAGGAGUGGAGGUGUUGAUUCUAGUAGACAGUAUGGAGGAGUGGAGGUGUUGAUUCUAGAAGACAGUAUGGAGGAGUGGAGGUGUUGAUUCUAGUAGACAGUAUGGAGGAGUGGGGGUGUUGAUUCUAGAAGACAGUAUGGAGGAGUGGAGGUGUUGAUUCUAGUAGACAGUAUGGAG